GGUAGGACCUGCGUAAAUAUUGGAGCAGCUUUCCAGCGGUGGAGAGAACCCAUGGAGCGGGAAGGUGUUGAUCCACCUUCUGGACUGGAUACGGACUGGAUCCAGUUGACUGCAGUGCCCAUCUGAUCUAGUGUGCAGCAUCCACUUGGAUGAUGUGACGGCAGCCACAGGACAACAGUGCCAGUGUGCUCACCACACCCCAGCUACAGGUGGAGAGGAGAGAGAGAGACAGAGCCAAUUCAUUGGAUGGGGAUUAUUAAGAGGCCAUGACUGACAAAGACCAGGGAGGGCAAUUUGGCCAGGACACCCGUGUU
ensembl:lncRNA